AUACGGAGGGUGCAAGCGUUAUCCGGAAUCAUUGGGUUUAAAGGGUCCGUAGGCGGACUAUUAAGUCAGAGGUGAAAUCCCACAGCUCAACUGUGGAACUGCCUUUGAUACUGGUAGUCUUGAGUUAUAUGGAAGUAGAUAGAAUGUGUAGUGUAGCGGUGAAAUGCAUAGAUAUUACACAGAAUACCGAUUGCGAAGGCAGUCUUCUACGUAUAUACUGACGCUAAGGGACGAAAGCGUGGGGAGCGAACAGGAUUAGAAACCCCAGUAGUCC
rnacentral:rRNA from 1 species